GACGAACGCUGGCGGCGUGCUUAACACAUGCAAGUCGAACGGAGAAUUUUAUUUCGGUAGAAUUCUUAGUGGCGAACGGGUGAGUAACGCGUAGACAACCUGCCUCUUAGAUGGGGACAACAUCGCGAAAGCGGUGCUAAUACCGAAUGAAGUGGAGCUUCCGCAUGGAAGCAUCACCAAAGGUGGCCUCUAUUUAUAAGCUACCACUGAGAGAUGGGUCUGCGUCUGAUUAGCUAGUUGGCGGGGUAAUGGCCCACCAAGGCGACGAUCAGUAGACGGUCUGAGAGGAUGGACGGCCAAAGUGGGACUGAGACACGGCCCAAACUCCUACGGGAGGCAGCAGUGGGGAAUCUUCCGCAAUGGACGAAAGUCUGACGGAGCAACGCCGCGUGAGUGAAGAAGGUUUUCGGAUCGUAAAGCUCUGUUGUUUGAGACGAAUGUGCAGACUUUGAAUAAGGGUUUGUAAUGACGGUAUUAAACGAGAAAGCCACGGCUAACUACGUGCCAGCCGCCGCCGUAA
rnacentral:rRNA from 1 species